AUGCUACUCCCUCCGUUCCAUAAUUCUUGUCUCAAAUUUGCCCAAAUAUGGAUGUAUCUAUUCUUAAAAAGCGUCUAGAUACAUGUAAUAUUUCGACAAGAAUUAUGGAACGGAGGGAGUAACAA
rnacentral:pre_miRNA from 1 species